rnacentral:ribozyme from 1 species
CCAGGAACAAAGGCAAUUUUUAAUGUGCAACUCGAAAAAGAUGAAAAAAACAAACGAAGAUAUAAUAUCUCUCUUUCUCUUAGUGAUCUUUCUCAUUCCUCUUGAAAAAGAAAGUGAAAAAGAAAGA